rnacentral:rRNA from 1 species
CACGUAGGGCGCAAGCGUUGUCCGGAAUUAUUGGGCGUAAAGAGCGUGUAGGCGGCCAGGUAGGUCUGCUGUGAAAACUCGAGGCUUAACCUCGAGCUGUCGGCGGAAACCAUCUGGCUAGAGUCCGGAAGAGGAGAAUGGAAUUCCCUGUGUAGCGGUGAAAUGCGUAGAGAUGGGGGAGAACACUCGUGGCGAAGGCGGCCAGCUAGACCAGUUCUGACACUGAGGCGCGACAGCGUGGGGAGCAAACAGG